rnacentral:lncRNA from 1 species
AUUUAUGUUAUUUGAUGAAAACAAGGCUUUCAAAUAUUUGAAAGUAAAUAAAGAACAGGUGCUUUCAAGUCAUUAUUAGUGGAAACUUUUCUCCAUGACGCCUUCUUGUUUCCAGGGAAAGAGACCCUCUGGUAGCACCCCUGGCCAAGUGCCUCAUUCUCUUUCCAUGAAUUAGCAGUGAUUGACUGUUGGCAGGUGGCGCUAAUGUAUUAAAAUCUGUAAGGAACAAAGAUCAGGGGUUUUCUUUCCUGCUUCCCGAACCAGGACAAACCAAGGGCCCAGGCAAACAGAGCUCCUCUAGCCCCCUGCACUCCCUCCCUCCAGGGGCGCUCUCCUAGUGGUGGAUCCAGCGGGCAAGAGGGCAGGUGUGGAGGAGGGGCAUCAACGGAUCAUUUCUAAACCACUUUCCCUAAAACUUUAUCAGGAAAAAAAAAAAGUAAGUGAAAGGCUCAAGGAAACAUGGACCGGGGCUGUCGAAUCACAGCGCCCCAUCUCCCUGGCAGGAGAGCAGUUUAUUUUGUGAGGAUUUGAGCACAGGAUGCAAGGAAGACUGAGUCCGUCUGUAGAACUGGACUGUCAGAAAGGAGUUCUCACUCUGCUGGGGAUGCUAAACCCGGGAGGGAGGACUCCGGGGCUACCAGCAGGCAUCCUCACCAUCGUUUGAAAAGGGCUUGUGUGCAGAACAAAGGCAGAGACCAGCAGAGAUAAAAGCCGUGUAGAAAGAGAGAGGGACUCCAGAGGUACUGAGAUCCCUUCUAGAAUCUGAGGUCCUGUUCCUCUAGCAACUCUUCAGGCACAUGAGCUAGUCCAGCUACAAGAGCCAUCACAUUUCCUCUCUGCUCAAGGUUGCAUAGGCCACCCGCGCAUCCUGUACCAUGCUAAAGAGAAGAGAGCCACAAACUAUGACUAAUAAUAAAUAUACAGCCAAACCAAGGUGAAUAAUGAAUACAUGGAUUUCAUUUGACCUGGAAACAUAUACCA